GAUGAACGCUAGCGGGAGGCCUAACACAUGCAAGCCGAGCGGUAUUGUUUCUUCGGACAUGAGAGAGCGGCGUACGGGUGCGUAACACGUGUGCAACCUGCCUUUAUCUGGGGGAUAGCCUUUCGAAAGGAAGAUUAAUACUCCAUAAUAUAUUGAACGGCAUCGUUUAAUAUUGAAAGCUCCGGCGGAUAGAGAUGGGCACGCGCAAGAUUAGCUAGUUGGUGAGGUAACGGCUCACCAAGGCGAUGAUCUUUAGGGGGCCUGAGAGGGUGAUCCCCCACACUGGUACUGAGACACGGACCAGACUCCUACGGGAGGCAGCAGUGAGGAAUAUUGGUCAAUGGGUGCAAGCCUGAACCAGCCAUCCCGCGUGAAGGACGACUGCCCUAUGGGUUGUAAACUUCUUUUGUAUAGGGAUAAACCUACCCUCGAGAGGGUAGCUGAAGGUACUAGACGAAUAAGCACCGGCUAACUCCGUG
rnacentral:rRNA from 1 species